UACGUAGGGUGCGAGCGUUAAUCGGAAUUACUGGGCGUAAAAGUGUGCGCAGGUGGCCGCGCAAGUCGAGUGUGAAAAUCCCCGAGCUUAACUUGGGAAUUGCGCUCGAAACUACGUGGCUAGAGUGUGGCAGAGGGAGGUGGAAUUCCACGUGUAGCGGUGAAAUGCGUAGAGAUGUGGAGGAACACCAAUGGCGAAGGCAGCCUCCUGGGCCAACACUGACACUCAUGCACGAAAAGCGUGGGGGAGCAAAACAGG
rnacentral:rRNA from 1 species